GCUGCUGCUACCUGCUAGCAGAAUCAUGUGACGCUGGACGGAUGGCCUUCUGGCCAAACGCCAAGGAGACGCUACGCAGGCCUGACGGUAGAAAGAACAAGGAGCAGGAGGACUGGAGGAGGAGGAGGAGCAGUAGCGGACGCAGUCUUCAGUCUUCACUCUUGAGCAGCGUAAACUACCCUGGUGGGAGUUUGCCCCCGCCGCCGGACGACCGCAUGGGUCCCGCAGGGUGUUUGUCUCCGCCUGCUUGCACUCUAGGCAAAGCAGGAGAUUCCUGUAAGGAUAUCUUCACCAACAUUCUCUAACUUCUGUAGUUUGGUUAGCUUGAUAACUAGUGAAUUGAAGUAGAUUCCCUCCAAAUCUUUGGCUACCAAAUCAGUCCUUAAUAAAACACGCUACUGCUUUGCUGCC
rnacentral:lncRNA from 7 species